rnacentral:rRNA from 1 species
CACGUAGGCGGACCGGAAAGUUGGGGGUGAAAUCCCGGGGCUCAACCCCGGAACUGCCUUCAAAACUAUCGGUCUGGAGUUCGAGAGAGGUGAGUGGAAUUCCGAGUGUAGAGGUGAAAUUCGUAGAUAUUCGGAGGAACACCAGUGGCGAAGGCGGCUCACUGGCUCGAUACUGACGCUGAGGUGCGAAAGCGCGGGGAGCAAACA